GCUAGAGAGGCUCAGCGCUACCAUGAAGCGACGCCCGAUAGAAGCCUAGAGCGGAUCCGAGCCUGGCCCGCCUCCCGCGCGGAAUGGGCUGGGCGGUGUUAAUUGGCGGAAUAUGCAAGGAAACUGCAAGGAAUUCAGUAUAGUUGGAGUGAGAAGCUGGAGAGAUGGGGCUGAGAAAAUCAAAUAACAUGAAUGAGUUCUGCCACUGGUCAAGCACAGGAACUGACAUCAAAAGCGAGUCUGUUGGGCACUGAAGCACAUGUCCUUUCUUCUCUUGCUGGGCUUCCUCAUGGCUUGUUGGUCCAAGAGCAGACAAUACCAAGAAGAUCCUAGAAGAGGCUAAGCCACAUAGAAUGCAAUUCCAAACUGAAAAGUCACUCUUUCCAGGAGAAGAGUGGGCAGUGGGCAGAGAGAAGCCAGGACCAGGAGACUAAUUUUGAUAGAGGUACGUCUAAAAACAUUUAAAGAUCAAUACAGAUAGAAAAGUAAAAACAUUUUUUUUUUUAGAACAGGGCAUUAUUAAGCUAAGAUCAUUAGUGACAAUAGUAGUUAGGAGUGUGGUCUUUGAAGUCACACAUAACUGGAUUCAAAUCUGAAUUUUGUCAGUUACUAUUUGUGUGACCUUGGAAAGAUUACUUGCUUUAUUUCAGCCUCUGUUUCCACAUCUGUAAAGUGAGAGUGACGUGGUAUGUACAUUGUUGCAAUUGUUUCAAGACUCAAAUGAGGUUUAAAAAGUACAGGACACUUAGCACAGUAUCUAUACAUGGUAGGAACUUCAUGAAUGGUGGCUGUUAUUAUUUUCAGUUGUAGGUCAGUUCAAAUGAGAUAAUAUAUGUGAAAAAUAUUUUGUAAAUGAAAAUACUCUGGCUAUGCUCUUGGAACUCUUUUUCCUGCCUCCAUAAAAAGCACUUUGACUCUUUCACAACCUAGUUGUUAGAUUAGUCUUGCCUUACCAGCUGGUGGGCCUAGGACUCUGAUGCAGACUGUGGUUCAAGAGGAGGGAACAGGUAUAAGUUGGACUCUGCUACGUGUCAGGGCCCACAAGGACCAUUGAGGACAUCCAGGAGAUAGUAGAAGAGAGGGGAAAAAAUAGGUACUAGAACUAAUAAGACUAUAUAAUUGGUUACAUUCCAGAAUGUGUUGGUGUUGCCUUUGGAAUAGGCCAAUGAAAGCAUGUGAAGAUUUUUGAGGCAUCAAUGAAAAGAGCUUGGAUCCCUAAUUUUGGGCAUGGACAGAAAGGGAACCCUACCACACACCUUCGUCUACUUGUUUUCCUCUAACACCACACAUUCAAAUAUAGAUGUCUAGUGUCCAGCUAGGACCUGAAUGGGGACCAUCAUUAUAAAUAUUCUUUAUUCUAACCCUAGCAUCUAGCCCAGUACCAAGAAAUGGUGAAUCAAUAGUAUAUGCUAAAUCAGUACAUUAAUUUAAACAUCAAAGACAUUAUGUGUUCACUUUGGUUGGACCCCUUGUUUCUUAGAUAUUCCUAGGGCAAUCCUGAAUGGCAAGAGCAGAGGCAAUAGAGGAAAGCAAAGGACCACAGGGUUUUGUCACUUCAACCAUCAAAACGAGAGAGAUGCAUGCCAUAGUGAGAAAAAGAGCUAUUCUAAAAUAGAACUGGCUCUCAUACAAGAGAGUGAGCUGUGGGCAGGGUAGAAGGGAGGUGGAGGUGGAGGCAGGGUGGCAUCAAGCAGAAGCUGCAUGACCAUGAGUUGCAUUGAGGACAGUGCAAUAGAGGGAUGCCUGCACAGAGUCAGAGCUGGACUGUAUCACCAUCCCCACCCCUGGCUGAAGCAGAAUUAACUGUGGAUAAGAUUUUCUAAAAAAAACCUCAUUCCUAGGCCCUCUACUUAGAAAUUUUGAUUUUUUUUAAGAAAAAAAAUAUUUUUUUCUUAUUAUUUUGAGAGAGAGAGAAAGUGUG